rnacentral:rRNA from 1 species
GACAGGGGAUGCAAGUGUUAUCCGGAAUUAUUGGGCGUAAAGCGUCUGCAGGUUGAUAUUUAAGUCUUUUGUUAAACGUCUUGGCUUAACCGAGAAUCUGCAAAAGAAACUGGGUAUCUGGAGUAUGGUAGAGGUAAAGGGAAUUUUCAGUGGAGCGGUGAAAUGCGUAGAUAUUGGAAAGAACACCAAGGGCGAAGGCACUUUGUUGGGCUAUUACUGACACUCAGAGACGAAAGCUAGGGGAGCAAACAGG